rnacentral:rRNA from 1 species
AUUGAACGCUGGCGGCAGGCCUAACACAUGCAAGUCGAACGAGUGGCGGACGGGUGAGUAAUGUCUGGGACACUGCCUGGUGGAGGGGGAUAACUACUGGAAACGGUCGCUAAUACCGCAUACCAUCAGAUGUGCCCAGAUGGGCUUCGCUAGUUGGUGGGGUAACGGCUCACCAAGGCGACGAUCCCUAGCUGGUCUGAGAGAGUGCCCAGCCACACUGGAACUGAGACACGGUCCAGACGCCUACGUGAGGCAGCAGUGGGGAAUAUUGCACAAUGGGCGCAAGCCUGAUGCAGCCAUGCCGCGUGUAUGGAGAAGGCCUUCGGGUUGUAAAGUACGUUCAGCGGGGAGGCGUUACUCGCAGAAGAAGCACCGGCUAACUCCGUGCCAGCCGCCGCGGUAAUUC